AAGUAUCUAUUAAUUCACUCUCUAUAUAAACCCGCUAUUCUUCAUCACAUUCACUCACUCACUCACUCUUCUCCAUUCCGUUCCAGAUAACACCCAACCCUACCUUUCCCAAUCCACGCAGCUUUUCCUUCAAGUGAGAUGGCAUCCUUGCAUGCCAAUGUGACAUCAGUUGUUUGCAAAAGUGGCAACAAUGCUUCUCAACCGAAGUUCCCAAGUACUACAUUUUUGCCUGGGUUUGAUGUCGCUGGAUGCAUUUCAAGUGCUUGGAAGAAGGAAGUUGUCCCUUCCUACGUGGCUUCGAUACCUAGAGCAACAUUAACAUUUGAUCCUCAAACAACCAAUUCGGACAAAACCAAACAAAAGAAGCACACCGUUGACCCUGCUUCCCCCGAUUUUCAGCCUCUUCCUUCCUUCGAACAGUGCUUUCCUAAGAGCACGAAAGAAUACAGGGAAGUCAUUCAUGAAGGUACUAGUCAUGUUCUCAGAGUUCCAUUUCGACGAGUUCACCUCUCUGGGGAUGAAGAACACUUUGAUAACUAUGAUACAAGUGGUCCCCAAAAUAUAAGCCCAAGUAUUGGACUCCCCAAGUUGCGCGCAGAGUGGGUUGAUAGGAGAGAGAAACUUGGUACACCAAGAUUCACUCAAAUGUACUAUGCUAAGCAAGGGAUCAUUACUGAGGAGAUGCUUUAUUGUGCCACUCGUGAGAAGCUUGACCCGGAGUUUGUGAGGUCAGAAGUUGCUCGUGGACGAGCUAUCAUCCCAUCCAACAAGAAGCACUUGGAGUUGGAGCCUAUGAUAGUUGGAAGAAAUUUCUUGGUGAAGGUAAAUGCAAACAUUGGAAAUUCUGCAGUUGCUAGCUCUAUCGAAGAGGAAGUUUACAAGGUUCAGUGGGCAACUAUGUGGGGAGCUGACACAGUCAUGGACCUCUCAACAGGUCGCCAUAUCCAUGAAACUCGUGAGUGGAUCUUGCGCAACUCCCCCGUGCCAGUUGGGACCGUUCCUAUUUAUCAAGCACUUGAAAAAGUUAACGGCAUUGCUGAAAACCUUAGCUGGGAGGUUUUCAGGGAUACACUGAUUGAACAAGCCGAGCAGGGUGUUGAUUACUUCACUAUCCAUGCUGGUGUUCUUCUUAGGUACAUUCCCUUAACAGCGAAGCGCAUGACAGGAAUAGUUUCCAGAGGAGGAUCCAUUCAUGCAAAGUGGUGCCUUGCUUAUCACAAAGAGAAUUUUGCUUAUGAGCACUGGGACGAAAUACUUGACAUCUGCAAUCAGUAUGAUAUAGCACUAUCCAUUGGUGAUGGGCUAAGACCUGGAUCCAUAUAUGAUGCGAAUGACACGGCUCAAUUUGCUGAGCUCUUGACGCAAGGAGAACUGACACGUAAAGCAUGGGAAAAGGAUGUUCAGGUGAUGAAUGAAGGACCUGGACAUAUUCCAAUGCACAAGAUUCCUGAAAACAUGCAGAAGCAGCUAGAAUGGUGUAACGAAGCACCCUUCUACACUCUUGGUCCACUAACAACUGAUAUUGCCCCUGGUUAUGAUCACAUUACCUCUGCUAUUGGUGCUGCCAAUAUCGGGGCACUUGGUACAGCUCUUCUCUGCUAUGUAACUCCAAAAGAACAUCUUGGUCUACCAAAUCGUGAUGAUGUGAAAACCGGAGUUAUAUCUUACAAGAUAGCUGCUCAUGCUGCUGACUUAGCAAAGGGUCAUCCACAUGCUCAAGCCUGGGAUGAUGCACUGAGCAAGGCGAGAUUUGAAUUCCGAUGGAUGGAUCAGUUUGCUUUGUCUUUGGAUCCAAUGACGGCCAUGUCCUUCCAUGAUGAAACAUUGCCAUCUGAAGGCGCAAAGGUAGCCCAUUUCUGCUCUAUGUGUGGCCCCAAAUUCUGCUCUAUGAAGAUAACUGAGGAUGUCAGAAAGUAUGCUGAGCAACAUGGCUAUGGCGACGCCGAGGAGGCUUUGAAGCGUGGAAUGGAUGCUAUGAGUGCUGAAUUUCUAGCUGCCAAGAAAACUAUCAGUGGGGAGCAGCAUGGUGAAGCUGGUGGAGAGAUUUACUUGCCAGCAACAUACUUAAGUUCCAAAGAGAGGACUAUAUAAAUGAAGCAAAUCAACGGGAGAAUUGGCUACACAACUGGCCUUAUCUAUAAGGAUAGUGUGAAACAUUUUCAAGCUGGCUGUAGGAGAACAAUACAAAGUUCAGUUUGUUGAUAAUAUCUUAGACUCCUAUCUUCAACUUUACUUUUGUUGUGAAUUAUCCAAUUGUCAGGAAUAAAUUGUGUAAUAGUAUUUUGUUUGGUAUCAUCUUUUAUCUUUCUGGGAAACUUUAUUAAUACCCAAGAUGCACCAGGGGUGCCUGAAUCUGCAUGAGCACUGGCUAUUAUUAAAGCUAGGAUGCUAGCAGAUCAGGCUGAGAUAGUCCCUUUGAACCUGAUCAGGGUGAUGCCUGCGUAGGGAGCGUGCAUUUUUCUCUUUCUUUUUUUUUUGUAUGCUUCUGCAGGGAGUGUGCCUUAUAUACAAUGGUUUGGACUUAAGCCAAUCCUGAUUUGGGAAAGUUUAGGUAGUUGAUUUGCACAGUUUUCGAAUUUUUCAGAAGUUAAAGUGCACAUGGUGUAAAAAUCGAAGUGGUGAAUUGCAAUUAUCCAUAAAACUAAAAACUAUCUUACAUUAUACAUUCAACUUCUCAAAAAUGUGUUAUUACCAAUUAUGGGACCCACAUAGGUGUUUCUAUGCCUGGAUAGGGUUGUUGUUUUGAAAGGGUUGUCAACAAUUACCAACAUAGUCAUUUAGUCAAUGAGUGAUAGUGCAUCAGAAACAGGAAGCAAACCCAGCAAGAAAAGCAACAGUAUCUACUCAUAUUAGCUUUUACUUUUCACACAUUACUUAAAAUGCCUUUUUCUAACCUCCUUAACCCACCCUUUUGGCACAUGCCCUUGUAUCCUUACAAACAAGCUCUAUUGUAAUCAUAGAUACAUGAUAAACACAAAUGUAUGAACUUGUUUCAUUCCUCACUCAAGCACACUUCAAGACCUUCUCUCAUUUUCACAGUUCAAACCUUUUUCAACAACUGUGCUUCUCUGGGUCUUACCUGUAUUCCUUUCAAAAUCACCUCACAUAUAUAAAAAUCUUGAUGGUUAGUACCCAAAAUUAAAGUUAUAUGAAACACAAUGAAUCACACAGGCUACUACUUUGAGAACAAAAGCUUGUCCUUGAGGAACAACUCUAGGAGGACUAAACCGGCUAGAAUUCGGCGCGAGCCGAGAUGCAUCUUUGGGAUUUGUUGGCAUACGGAGUUCUCUCCCAUUGAGUUUCUUAAGGGUGUUGCUGAAAGAUUGACAAGGGCUAUGUGCUGUGGUUCUGUCAGUAGAAGACGACCCCUGAACCAAGGGUUGUCGACGUCUGUAGGAAAAUCGAAGCUGACGGCGGCAUCAUCUGUUGAUUAUUAUAGGGCAGCUGCAGUUGAAGACUGCAUUGAGUUCAUCCACACUUCGUUCUCAAGAUCAAAUUCUUUAACCGCUGCACCAACUCCUUCCAGGGAUGAAUUUAUGCAUGCUUUCUUGAGAAACUUUGAAUCACAGAAUGUGUGAAGCUAUUAACCUGUUCUUGCUGCUGUGUGUGUGUCUACCUUUUGAAUGUGUUUAGUUUCACAAAAACGAUGGUGCCAUCUGAUGAUUACUAUGUUGGAUAUGUAUGGUUGUAUUUUGUGUUUGUAUCAGCAGAACUAGCUGUGUAGUAUUUUGAUGGGAUUCGAAGCUCUAAACCUUUGACACUGCUUUUGUUUGUAUAUGUAUGGUUGUAUAUGAAUGCGUUUAUUAUUUUU